rnacentral:rRNA from 1 species
UACGUAGGGUGCAAGCGUUGUCCGGAAUUAUUGGGCGUAAAGAGCUCGUAGGCGGUCUGUCGCGUCUGCUGUGAAAACUCAGGGCUUAACCCUGAGCUUGCAGUGGGUACGGGCAGACUAGAGUGCGGUAGGGGAGACUGGAAUUCCUGGUGUAGCGGUGAAGUGCGCAGAUAUCAGGAGGAACACCGGUGGCGAAGGCGGCAUUCUGGACCGAUAUUGACGCUGAUGAGCGAAAGCCAGGGGAGCAAACGGG